GGGAGCUUCAGGUGCAGAUGGGCUGGGCAGAGUGGGUGGAUGCCUCUAGCAGCCUGGAACAGCUGCUGCCUGCUACCCUGUGCAUCUUUGAAUCCAAAGAUAGAAGGAACACAGCAGUUACAAAGUGUACUGAUGCAGGCACCAUCCCACCCCUUCCUCAACUUUGCUUGGGCUUGUUUGGGCAAGAGUGGAGAACCUGUGUCCCUGAAGUGGGACCCUUAACUCCUGUCCCUCCCAGACAGAAUGACUAAUGGUCAGAGAUUAUGGGCGUUUUAGUCCAGCAACAUCAGGUUCCUCACCCCUGCUUCCCCUGAUUCCCCACAAAGAGUUGGGGAACAUAAUUUCUGAAAACUUCUGACUACAUGAGUAUCCAAAAGUGCUAUAUUGAUGGUUCAGUUUAGGCACCAAGAAGUGAUGUAAUGUCAUGUGCAGUUGUGCUAAGACAGCAGGUGGGGCAAUGUUUUAUUUCAUUAUUUUAUGUUGUUUGUUUUAAUACGAGGUAGCAUAGCUUACCUUAUUAAUGUCAUCACACUUCAAAUUAGCAGAAGGGGUAGGGCUCAUAAUCGACCACAUUUCACCUAAUUUUCACAAGAUUCAUUAAGUGAGGGUCAAAUUGAAACCCCACACUUCCUGCAGCUUAUCCGUGUGCCUUUAGAGAAGCCUGCCUCAGCCUUUGAAAGCUAAUGUUUUAGAGGGCUAAAUUGCACUCUGUCUGAUAAUACCCAGUGCCCUGUGAGAUCAAGUAAAUGUUACAAGAGUAAAAUUAUUGCUGGUUCAUUUUGAGCUGUGAUAGAUAUAUAGAGAGAGUGUGUCUCUUUUCUUCUCAUAAAGAUGCAGAAUAUGCUUGGAUCCUAUUUUCUCUUUAAAUAAUCCUUUGGAGGUCACCUUUUAAAAAAACAGUAUCCAUCAUCCUUUCUUAUACUAAGACAGAUGGAAAAGGGUGUCUGUGUUUAAGAAACACUAUCUGGAGGAGACAGAGGCAGCUGCUUUUGAACAGCUUCUGCUGGUGCAGCAAAGUAUUAAUGCAGUGACAGAUUUAAAAUCUCAGUACCAGGGAGCUUAUUUGUUUUCAUAGAUGUGAAGCAUUCGCCCUUUUACACCUUGGAAGUUUCACUUUUGCAGUUGUUCCAUGUAAAUACUUCACGCUUAAAAAAAAAGAACCCCCCUCGCUUCCGCCUUUGUUUGGUUUGAAUGGAACUAUAAAAUGAUUGGCAUUUGCAGUUCACACCUGUGGCAGAUCAGACUGUGUUUUGAAGGAAUAAACAUGAAACAAGACGUGUAGAUGUAAGUGGCCCCGUUUCAAAGUUACAUUUAGGAGGAGGUGCAGCUGUAACACUGGCUCUUCGCUAGUUCUAGUUAACAAAUUAGUUCCCUCCUUCCCAACAGUCCCUCUCACAUCCUAGAGCAAGUUCACCCAUCACCUAAAGUUAAUGCUGUUUGUUGGCACUGACGUAAACUACUUCAUAUUUUUUUCAAUGUUUGCAUCCCUCCUUGCUAUAAAAAUGUUCAAGGUGGCAAAAGACACACCAAAGUUCAUACACACAUACAACUAGGAUAUGAAAAUGGCAGGACUCAAAAUACCAUCUUAAAAGGCAAAGCCCCAAAACACCCACUGAAGAAAGAUACAGUCUUGGCAGUGCUGUUUUUCCUAGAAAGAGAAGGGCCAGAACUCACCAUGAACACCUCCCUCGUUCUCUUAUAAUAGCAAUGGCACACACCUUGACAGGUGCUGGAACUGAGUUCCGGCUGAAAAAAGCCCUGGGUCUUGGUUAUUUGCUGACAGGUGAACAGCCACAUGGCCAGACAGACUUCCUUCAACAGAGCAUUACAAGUGCCUCAGUGCUGUGACAACAACACAAAAAUGUCUUGUCUCUCAUGUCCGCUCUCUAUUCUUUGGAUGACAGAGGCCAUGGAGCAGGGCCUCAGUAGAAAAUAUUGGAUGACAGGACAAUUCCUAAGGGAGCUGGUGCUUGUCAAGAUACACUGGUCCCAAAUCAUUCAGGUCUUUAAGGCUCCAGAAACAAACUGGUAAGCAGAAAGGCUUUCCUAGCGCGUAUGUGUGAUUCCUUUUCAGCACCAGAUGAUGACCUUAUUUAUAAUUCUUCUUGACCUUCUAAUUUUGAUAUAUAUUGCUGUGUUUAGGUUUGGGCAUAAAUUGCACUAAAUCUCUCUGCCGUUUAUGGUUGGUUUCUAUAAGUGGAACAAAGGAAAAGCAUCUCUCCUUCUCCUCAAGCAGCAAACGGCCUUGGUCCG